rnacentral:lncRNA from 1 species
UGUGUCUCUAUGCAUGGAGUAAGAAAGAAACCAUCCUACAAUAGCACCAAAUCCAGCAUGGAUGGCUGUGUUGGUGCAGGACUUUCACAUGUCUUUGGAGUAGAAUAAGAUGUGCCAAUCCAGACUCAACCCCAUCUCAUCAAGAUCCAGUGAUCUUCGUUUUCCGAUUGUCUAGCCCAAGCUCUCUUCCUCCCCAGACUCAUCCUCCACCCUGCUACUGGACUUGUCUUUGUACUCUCAAAGCAGUGUGAGGAGAUUCAUCAACCGGUGGUGUGGACAUGUGAACAGCGUGAGGCAGAGAGUUAUAAGCUUCUUGAGGGUGGCAGCCAGACAGUAGCAGUUUGUGUGCAAAGCCCCUGCAGUGGCAUAUGGAAGACUUUCAAUACAUCAGGACCAGAGGAUGAGCUGGAAAUGAAAUCACACUCACUGGUGGGAGAAAACCAAACUUGAUGACAGAGGACCAGUAAAGGAAGCAGCUUGAGUAUGUGUCCUCAGAUGCAGACACAAGGCCUUGCCUUCCUGGAUGAGACAGGCACUGACUGGAGCAGGGUUUGCCAGACUCAAAGGGCCACAUUUUAGGGACAGUCUAAAAUGUGGUAUAUGGACAGUCUGGCAGUGGUAUGUAGAAUGGGUUAAAACUGGAAGACUGGGCUGGGUAUGGUGGUGCAUGCCUGUAAUUCCAGUACUUUGGGAGGCUGAGGCAGGAGGAUUGCUUGAGCCCAGGAGUUCAAGACCAGCCUGGACAACACAAUGAGACUUUGUCUCUAAAAAAACAAACAAAACUGGGUAAUUAGGAGGUGACUACAAGAGCAUAGGGAGCUAGUGGAAAAUGAAAGGAUGUGUGUAAAUCUGAAGAAAAGGUCAGAACUGAAGGUCAGAAUGUGUGCUCUGCAAUGUGUGAAUACAGUAUGAAUGUGCUCCAGGAAGAAUAUCUGAAACAGAUUAUCAUGAGUUUCCAGAAGUAUGUGGCUGUACUCAGAGUUGGGGAAGAAGAUAGCAGGAAGUGGGCAGAGGCAGUAAAAGCGGAAUGGGGAUUGAGGAAUUGAUGCUCCUGAUAAGAGAAAAAAAAGGCAGCUUGUGUGGGAGCAGGAGCAAGUUUUUGACAGGACAGGCUGUCACAUAGGGUUUUGCUGCUGAACUCCACCAAGCAAAGCCUUGGAGCAGAGUUCCUCAGCUGCUGAGGUCCACACUCACACUCAGCUGUGGCAGGAGGCUAUGGAGUCUACAGGCUUAUAGGCAAUUCCCAGAGUGUUAGUUUCCCACUGGCAUUCUGGGCAUGUGAGGGGCUUGUAGGGCUGGGCUGGAGACUAGAUGAGCCUGCCUGUGUGCAGGAAGUGCUAAACUGAAUACUGAGUGCCAGACUUGCCUGGCUCCAUACUAAACAGGGAGUCACGGCUUCUGUCCAUCCAGGAAAUACAUGUACCUCUCAUAUAUACCUAUUCCACAAACUCUUUUUGAAAGCCCAGACGAUAAAUAGGCACAAAGCUACCUAAGCUCAAAAGGCCACCUGGCUCUACAUGUGAGACAUUAACAUGAGGGCUUUAUAGAUACUUUUCUAUAUGUGGCCUCAAGCAAACCAGAAGAAUGUAAGUGCCAUCGCAUGUCCACGGGCCAGCUGCAGACCCCCUUGAGCAGACUCGUGACUUUUUGCACUGACCUGGAUUUGUGGUCAGACUGACCUGGGUUCAGAUUCCUGUGUCACCAACUGGAGCCAUGUAACCCUGGGCUUGGGCUAACAUCUCUUUUUUUUUUUGAGACAGAGUCUCACUCUGUCACCCAGGCUGGAGUGCAGUGGUACAAUCUU